CAGCACCUCAAGUGGUCAGGAUGAUUAUUGGGCCUAAAGCAUCCGUAGCCGGCGCUGUAAGUUUUCGGUUAAAUCUGUACGCUCAACGUACAGGCUGCCGGGAAUACUGCAGCGCUAGGGAGUGGGAGAGGUAGACGGUACUCGGUAGGAAGGGGUAAAAUCCUUUGAUCUAUUGAUGACCACCUGUGGCGAAGGCGGUCUACCAGAACACGUCCGACGGUGAGGGGUGAAAGCUGGGGGAGCAAAACGGAUUAGAUACCCGAGUAGUCC
rnacentral:rRNA from 1 species